AUGUGCCCUCGGAGCAAUAGGUGGCGGUGUGUGCCCCUCUUGACAGAAGAAGAAGCUACGCAACCUGUGCGUCAUUGCCACUGCAUGCAGGUAACGUUAAAGAUGGAUGACCUGUACCAGCCACAGUUCAGCCUAUACCACGGCGCAAAAAGGUUGACAAUAUCAGCCCGAGAUCUGUCGAGGGACCGAUUGGAGUCUAUUUUUAAGGUUGAGCCAGAUAGUCUUUAUUUAGAGGACGACAUAACAAGAGAAACAUUUUUUCCAGAUCAAUCUGGACAGUUUCAGACCUCCCUGAUGAGAGACCGAGGAUCAUUUGCUGUGUCAGGCACAAGCAAAGAACAAGUUUUGACACCAGUUGCAGGCCCUUCAACACCAUUUUCCUGUCGCCCAAAAGGGACCCCUGCCUUUACACACCCAUCUAAUACAUUUCAAAACCCUCUCCGAAGGGCCAGAUCAGCAAGAAAACAAAUUUAUGUAGCAGACAUUGAGGACAGCGGGAAAAUAUCUCCAUACACUACAGUACAUGUCACAAUAUCCGAAGGCCAGGGUGUGCAGGCUGUGGGACAAACUGUGCAGGAAUAUUUAAAUUCCGCUGACAGCUACAGUAUCUGCGAUGCCAAAGGGCUGGCAAUUGCAGAUACAUCAGAGACCAAAGAUUUGGAAUUUUGGAAAACAUCAAGCCGGAAGGUAUACGCCAUCAGAACAGCAGACCUGGCCAAGCUCAAGACGGGAAGACUUGAAAGUGCCUCCAAAAAGAAAAGGAUGGACCCCGAAGAAAAUGAAGUUCUAGAUGGUCUGGUUGAGAUUGAGCUUGAGAUAAAAAACUCUGCAUCAAAGCUAGCUGAAAAUCUCGAUGAAAAAUUUAACGAGCUAACCAUUUCAGUCAACCACAUAAAGGCUAAUGUCCUACAAGUAGUGCAACAGGUUGACAUGUUAGCAGAGGUGAAGGAGAAAGUUACUCAAGUGUCAAAAUCAUUAUCCAUUGCUUCCUCUCUGCGAGAUGCGUUGGCAUGUAGGAUGUGCACAAACAUCCCAAAUUCUGUACUUGUUAUAACGGCAUGCUGUGGGCAGGUUGCAGGGUGUGGCCCCUGUAUCCAGACCUAUCUAAAUGAUAAUGACAGCUGCCUUUUAUGCAAGGCAAGUAUGUUUGCAGGCAAACUGGUCUUUUUAAGAGGCCUGAGUGAGGUACUGUUGAAACUGACAAAUGCAGCGACGUAAAUGUGGUCUGGCUGAUAGUUUGGCUUAAAAGUUCAGAAAUACUGUUGAAAACAUUUUUUAUAUGUAAUUUACCACCUUGCUUUGUUUUUUCCUUUGUUUUUUUGUUAAGAAUCUUGGGCGUGGUGUUCAGGGGUUAGUAUGGCAUCUGGCUGAGUAUUUUUUUUUCUUUUUCUGUAUCAUAUUUUUGUAUGCUUAUAGGGGCAUAAAUUCAAAAAAGCCAGCUGAGUUUAUCUGUGUAGCCUGGUGCCAUAUGCAGUGUCUUAAUAGGCAUCACUGCUUAUCAGCAGUACCUGUUCCUGUUCUUGAAUAGGCCCUUUAAAGAGAAACACCCUUUAUUUUCUUCAACAAACACUGUUGUUAUAUGAACCAUAGCCCAUUUUGGCUUUCCUAACAGAAUAUGCUGGCUAAGGGUCAUUUCACUGUUACAGUUUUAACAAAAAUAGCACUGAUACUUGAAAUAAAGUCUAGUUUCCCCGUUGUUGUACA
ensembl:lncRNA